rnacentral:rRNA from 1 species
AGAGUUUGAUCCUGGCUCAGAACGAACGCUGGCGGCAUGCCUAACACAUGCAAGUCGAACGCGUGUAGCAAUACACGAGUGGCGCACGGGUGAGUAACGCGUGGGAACCUGCCCUGGAGUGGGGGAUAACCCGGCGAAAGCCGGGCUAAUACCGCAUACGACCUAUGGGUGAAAGAUUUAUCGCUCUGGGAGGGGCCCGCGUCGGAUUAGCUAGUUGGUGAGGUAACGGCUCACCAAGGCGAUGAUCCGUAGCUGGUCUGAGAGGAUGAUCAGCCACACUGGGACUGAGACACGGCCCAGACUCCUACGGGAGGCAGCAGUGGGGAAUAUUGGACAAUGGGGGCAACCCUGAUCAAGCAAUGCCGCGUGAGUGAUGAAGGCCUUAGGGUUGUAAAGCUCUUUCGGCGGGGACGAUGAUGACGGUACCCGCAGAAGAAGCCCCGGCUAACUUCGUGCCAGCAGCCGCGGUAAUACGAAGGGGGCGAGCGUUGUUCGGAAUUACUGGGCGUAAAGGGCGCGCAGGCGGCCUUAGAAGUCAGAUGUGAAAGCCCCGGGCUCAACCUGGGAAUAGCAUUUGAUACUCUGAGGCUGGAGUGCGGGAGAGGAGAGUGGAAUUCCCAGUGUAGAGGUGAAAUUCGUAGAUAUUGGGAAGAACACCGGUGGCGAAGGCGGCUCUCUGGACCGUAACUGACGCUGAGGCGCGAAAGCGUGGGGAGCAAACAGGAUUAGAUACCCUAGUAGUCC